CUAGCCGUAAACGAUGGAUACUAGGCGUUGUGAGUAUCGACCCUCACAGUGUCGUAGCUAACGCGUUAAGUAUCCCGCCUGGGGAGUACGCGCGCAAGCGUGAAACUCAAAGGAAUUGACGGGGGCCCGCACAAGCGGUGGAGUAUGUGGUUUAAUCCGAUGCAACGCGAAGAACCUUACCAGGACUUGACAUGUCGCGAAUCUCAGGGAAACUUGAGAGUGCCUUCGGGAGCGCGAACACAGGUGGUGC
rnacentral:rRNA from 1 species